GAUGAAGAACGUAGCGAAAUGCGAUAAGUAAUGUGAAUUGUAGAAUUCAGUGAAUCAUCGAAUCUUUGAACGCACAUUGCGCCCGCCAGUAUUCUGGCGGGCAUGCCUGUUCGAGCGUCAUUUCAACCCUCAAGCCCCCGGGCUUGGUGUUGGGGAUCGGCGUGCCCUCGCGGCGCGCCGUCCCCUAAAUCUAGUGGCGGUCUCGCUGUAGCUUCCUCUGCGUAGUAGCAACACUCGCACUGGAUCGCAGCGCGGCCACGCCGUUAAACCCCCCACUUCUGAAAGUUUGACCUCGGAUCAGGUAGGAAUACCCGCUGAACUUAAGCAUAUCAAUAAGCGGAGGA
rnacentral:misc_RNA from 1 species